UGGCAUUUAAAGAUACCGGAAAGACGCCC
rnacentral:piRNA from 1 species